GGGAAGAAGAGAAGAGGGGAAAGAAAAGGGAACUCCAGGUUAUUCCGGGGAGUAUGCCUGUUUGAGGGUCGUUAGAACAAAAAUCGAAGCGUCGCUCUUUUUUUUAAGGGUGAUCGCGUCGGAAUUGAGCCGUCUUUCAAAUGUUAAUGCAUGUCAAAGUGGCUUAAAAUUCAUCCAUCCGGUACGAUUAAAGCGUAUUUAAGAUCAAUUUUGAUUAAGAACGCGCGAUGAACGUACCAUCUCAUGUAGUACGUUUGACCUGGGUCGUCAGGAUCAUUCGUAUACGAUACUCAAACUUUUG
rnacentral:misc_RNA from 1 species